rnacentral:rRNA from 1 species
GACGAACGCUGGCGGCGUGCUUAACACAUGCAAGUCGAACGGUGAAGGGACCGGUUUUUGCUGGUUCUGGAUGAGUGGCGAACGGGUGAGUAACACGUGAGUAAUCUGCCCCCUUCUUCUGGAUAACCGCAUGGAAGUGUGGCUAAUACGGGAUAUUCUGCGCCUGCUGCAUGGUGGGUGUGGGAAAGAUAUUGUUUCGGUGGGGGAUGGGCUCGCGGCCUAUCAGCUUGUUGGUGGGGUGAUGGCCUACCAAGGCGGUGACGGGUAGCCGGCCUGAGAGGGUGGACGGUCACACUGAGACUGAGACACGGCCCAGACUCCUGCGGGAGGCAGCAGUGGGGAAUAUUGCACAAUGGGCGCAAGCCUGAUGCAGCGACGCCGCGUGAGGGAUGGAGGCCUUCGGGUUGUAAACCUCUUUCGCCAGUGAAGCAGGCCUGUCCCUUGUGUGGGUGGGUUGACGGUAGCUGGAUAAGAAGCGCCGGCUAACUACGUG